CCCGCAACGAGCGCAACCCUUAUCCUUUGUUGCCAGCGGUCCGGCCGGGAACUCAAAGGAGACUGCCAGUGAUAAACUGGAGGAAGGUGGGGAUGACGUCAAGUCAUCAUGGCCCUUACGAGUAGGGCUACACACGUGCUACAAUGGCGUAUACAAAGAGAAGCGACCUCGCGAGAGCAAGCGGACCUCAUAAAGUACGUCGUAGUCCGGAUUGGAGUCUGCAACUCGACUCCAUGAAGUCGGAAUCGCUAGUAAUCGUAGAUCAGAAUGCUACGGUGAAUACG
rnacentral:rRNA from 1 species